CAUCAACGGAGAGUUUGAUCCUGGCUCAGGACGAACGCUGGCGGCGUGCUUAACACAUGCAAGUCGAACGGUGACGAUCAAGCU
rnacentral:rRNA from 1 species